AGCCUGAACGCUGGCGGCGUGGCUAAGACAUACAAGUCGUACGGUGUAGCAAUACACAGUGGCGAACGGGUGAGUAAUGAAUCGCUAACGUGCCCCGGACUUCGGGAUAGCUAUCCGAAAGGGUAGGUAAUACCGGGUGAUAUACCCUUUCCGCAUGGAAGGGUCUCAAAGGUCCGCC
rnacentral:rRNA from 1 species